CAGGCCCUGGGUGGAGGAAACGCAAGACCCCUCGGCAGGAGAUCUGGCUGGAGGUGGUGGGGCAGGAGACAGACUGACUCCCACUCAAGCUGAGCAUACAGACCCAAAUUCCAAGACACCUGAGAAAAGCUGACGCUAAGAAAGACAAAGGACAAAACCAACAGUUGGGAGACGGUCCCAAGGUUUAACAAACUAAAGACUACCCAGUAUUAACGAAUCUCCCCAGAAAGUAUCCAGAAAGACAAAGGAAGAAACAAGAAAGAGCAGUUCGGAGCCCCUGGAGGAUGGAUUGAGGUUCGGCAAUGGAUCCAAGGGGAUUUCCAGGAGAGGAGACACGCGUUAGCAGGAGAGCAAUAUUCAAGGACAGCACAGCUGAAAAUUUCCCACAACUGAAGACCUUUUAUGGAUCCUCCAAUUAAAAGCCCCUAUCAGUUGCCAAGCAAGUAAAGAGGUGGAAGCAACCCAAACCCCUGAUACCAGGGGAAGAUCCAGGCCAGCAGAAUGGAAUACGAUGUGGCCUUGACUUAGCAGAUUAUGUCACUACCUGGUAACAAGAGCAGCAAAUGAUAUUGUUCAACAACGAACACACACAUUUGUAUACAACUGCACAAAGACCUCACAUGCGUGCCUGACGAGGCUGCCAACUGAGCAAGGAGCACACUCUCCUCAGAGAGGGAAAUGUCACCGACUUGGCUUCCCAGAGCAUGUCGUCACUGCCUGAUCAGGUGGAUGAGCCCAGCACCGCGGGAGGUGGGAGCCA